UACGAAGGGGGCUAGCGUUGCCCGGAAUUACUGGGCGUAAAGCGCACGUAGGCGGCUUUCUAAGUCGGGGGUGAAAUCCUGGAGCUCAACUCCAGAACUGCCUUCGAUACUGGAGAGCUCGAGUCCGGGAGAGGUGAGUGGAACUGCGAGUGUAGAGGUGAAAUUCGUAGAUAUUCGCAAGAACACCAGGUGGCGAAGCGGCUCACUGGCCCGGUACUGACGGCUGAGGUGCGAAAGCGUGGGGAGCAAA
rnacentral:rRNA from 1 species